CUCGGCUGUGUAGUGAUGGCUUUAGCAGUUCUGCAGACUCUUCUGGCAGCCUUCAGGCCACCUUUACAUGACCCAAGAAGGCAAAUGUUUAACUGGACUCACUGGAGUAUGGGAACAGCUGCUAGAAUAAUAGCAGUGGCAGCAAUCUUCCUGGGAAUGGAUUUACCAGGACUGAAUCUUCCUGAUCCAUGGAAAACCUAUGCAAUGAUUGGGUUUGUAG